rnacentral:ncRNA from 1 species
CUAGGCUCAAACCGUCGCCGAACAACUUGGCGAUCGGGUGUGGUAACCCGGGUU